AGAGUUUGAUCCUGGCUCAGGAUGAACGCUGGCGGCGUGCCUAAUACAUGCAAGUCGAGCGAGAUGUUAGCGCAUGAACCUUCGGGGGAUUAUGCUAACGGACAGCGGCGGACGGGUGAGUAACGCGUAGGCAACCUGCCCCUGACAGAGGGAUAGCCAUUGGAAACGAUGAUUAAAACCUCAUGACACCGUAGAAGCACAUGCUUCAUCGGUCAAAGAUUUAUCGGUCAGGGAUGGGCCUGCGUCUGAUUAACUAGUUGGUGAGGUAACGGCUCACCAAGGUGACGAUCAGUAGCCGACCUGAGAGGGUGAUCGGCCACAUUGGAACUGAGACACGGUCCAAACUUCUACGGAAGGCAGCAGUAGGGAAUCUUGCACAAUGGGCGAAAGCCUGAUGCAGCAACGCCGCGUGAAGGAUGAAGGCCUUCGGGUUGUAAACUUCUGUUCUAAGGGAAGAAACAAAUGACGGUACCUUAGGAGCAAGCCCCGGCUAACUACGUGCCAGCAGCCGCGGUAAUACGUAGGGGGCAAGCGUUAUCCGGAUUUACUGGGUGUAAAGGGAGCGUAGACGGCGUAUAAAGUCUGAAGUGAAAUCCCGCAGCUCAACUGCGGAGUUGCUUUGGAAACUUAUAAGCUGGAGUGUCGGAGGGGUAAGCGGAAUUCCCAGUGUAGCGGUGAAAUGCGUAGAUAUUGGGAGGAACACCGGAGGCGAAGGCGGCUUACUGGAAGAUAACUGACGUUGAGGCUCGAAGGCGUGGGUAGCAAACAGGAUUAGAUACCCUGGUAGUCCACGCAGUAAACGAUGAAUACUAGGUGUCGGGAGGGAAUAACCUUUUCGGUGCCGUCGCAAACGCAAUAAGUAUUCCACCUGGGGAGUACGUUCGCAAGAAUGAAACUCAAAGGAAUUGACGGGGACCCGCACAAGCGGUGGAGCAUGUGGUUUAA
rnacentral:rRNA from 1 species